rnacentral:misc_RNA from 1 species
GAAAUGCGAUAAGUAAUGUGAAUUGCAGAAUUCAGUGAACCAUCGAAUUUUUGAACGCACAUUGCGCCCGCCAGUAUUCUGGCGGGCAUGCCUGUUCGAGCGUCAUUUCAACCAUCAAGCCCCGGGCUUGUGUUGGGGACCUGCGGCUGCCGCAGGCCCUGAAAACCAGUGGCGGGCUCGCUGUCACACCGAGCGUAGUAGAUUCUCAUCUCGCUCAGGGCGUGCUGCGGGUUCCGGCCGUAAAACAGCCUUAUUUUACCCAAGGUUGACCUCGGAUCAGGUAGGAAGACCCGCUGAACUUAAGC